AGGGUUGUAGCUCUGUGGUGGAGCAUCUGCUUUGCAUGCAGGAGAACCCUAGUUCAAUCACUGGCAUCUCCA